UCUUGUCCUGUACUGUAUUCCUAAUUUCAUUUGAUGCCUUUAAAAUAUUCUCUUGGAUCUCACUGAGUUUCUUUGUCUGCAUUUUAAAAUUCUUUAUCAGGCAUUUCAUCCAUUUUGAUUUCUUAGGAAUUUGUGGCUGGAGAGAGUGACAUCUUUGGACAUGGUGCAACUCUUAUGUCCCUAUAUUGAGCUUUCUGCAUCUAAUGGAUCCAAUGACUACUACUUUAGAGGUGGCCUCCUACGUGGCUCUCUCCUGAAGUUGUGCCUUAUUCAGUUUGCUAGGCAUUUGGCUUUACUUUGAAUUGGACAUUGUAGCAUAGCCUUCCUAUAGCUUCGUUAGUUAUGACUCAUGACCAGGCACUACACGCUGUGUCAGAGUCAGAGAUGUAUGUGGGCUACACAGUUGAGGCUACGUUAGCAGCUUAGGCAGUACAGUGUCAACAACAGAAUGUGUGGAAUGCCGUAGCCAGUCUUGCCACAAGGGUGCCCAGUCAGUCAGCCAAUGUGUUUGCAAUUAUUGGUGUUGGCUCUGCUACUAGUCAAGGCCUCUGGUACGAGCAGUCCUAGUGGUGUUAAGGGAACUGAACUCUGUCCUGUGAACAGACAAAAGUCUCUGGCUUUGGCCCAGAGACUGCACAGGAAGAGGCUGAUGGGAACCACUGACCCCUCUCUAUGGUGUUUAUAUCUGGUCCUGACUGCAUUUCCUUUCAGACAUGGUGUGAGGCCAUCAGGAAGUAGAUAGGUGGGGUAGUACCAACAGUUGUGGCUCUCUCCUCUGCUGGCUUCUGAGAGCCUGUCAGAAGUGGGGCUUCCACACCUACUGCUCUUGUA
rnacentral:lncRNA from 1 species